GUUCUUUCAUGUGGACACCAACUGUAUUGGCCACAAUGAGGAUGUGUGUUAUGUAUAAGGGAAGUACAAAACCCUUGUACAUAUAAGAGCUGAUGGAAUAUUCAUCCACAGAACCUAGAGUGUGUUUAGUUUCAAGGUUAUUGAUACAAAUUGGCUCAUUAUCUAUGUCACACAUAGUGAGGGAUAUUGCUAUUCACGUCAAGACUAUUGUGUGUUUUUGUACGAAUAAGGAAAACAAGUGAAUGUUUU